UACGUAGGGUGCAAGCGUUUAUCCGGAAUUAUUGGGCGUAAAGAGCUCGUAGGCGGUUUGUCGCGUCUGCUGUGAAAACUGGGGGCUCAACCCCCAGCCUGCAGUGGGUACGGGCAGACUAGAGUGCGGUAGGGGGAGAUUGGAAUUCCUGGUGUAGCGGUGGAAUGCGCAGAGUAUCAGGAGGAACACCGGUGGCGAAGGCGGGUCUCUGGGCCGUAACUGGACGCUGAGGAGCGAAAGCAUGGGGAGCGAACAGGA
rnacentral:rRNA from 1 species